GACGAACGCUGGCGGCGUGCUUAACACAUGCAAGUCGAACGGAAAGGCCCUGCUUUUGUGGGGUGCUCGAGUGGCGAACGGGUGGGUAACACGUGAGUAACCUGCCCUUGACUUUGGGAUAACUUCAGGAAACUGGGGCUAAUACCGGAUAGGAGCUCCUGCUGCAUGGUGGGGGUUGGAAAGUUUCGGCGGUUGGGGAUGGACUCGCGGCUUAUCAGCUUGUUGGUGGGGUAGUGGCUUACCAAGGCUUUGACGGGUAGCCGGCCUGAGAGGGUGACCGGCCACAUUGGGACUGAGAUACGGCCCAGACUCCUACGGGAGGCAGCAGUGGGGAAUAUUGCACAAUGGGCGGAAGCCUGAUGCAGCAACGCCGCGUGCGGGAUGACGGCCUUCGGGUUGUAAACCGCUUUCGCCUGUGACGAAGCGUGAGUGACGGUAAUGGGUAAAGAAGCACCGGCUAACUACGUGCCAGCAGCCGCGGUGAUACGUAGGGUGCGAGCGUUGUCCGGAUUUAUUGGGCGUAAAGGGCUCGUAGGUGGUUGAUCGCGUCGGAAGUGUAAUCUUGGGGCUUAACCCUGAGCGUGCUUUCGAUACGGGUUGACUUGAGGAAGGUAGGGGAGAAUGGAAUUCCUGGUGGAGCGGUGGAAUGCGCAGAUAUCAGGAGGAACACCAGUGGCGAAGGCGGUUCUCUGGGCCUUUCCUGACGCUGAGGAGCGAAAGCGUGGGGAGCGAACAGGCUUAGAUACCCUGGUAGUCCACGCUGUAAACGGUGGGUACUAGGUGUGGGGUCCAUUCCACGGGUUCCGUGCCGUAGCUAACGCUUUAAGUACCCCGCCUGGGGAGUACGGCCGCAAGGCUAAAACUCAAAGGAAUUGACGGGGCCCCGCACAAGCGGCGGAGCAUGCGGAUUAAUUCGAUGCAACGCGUAGAACCUUACCUGGGUUUGACAUGGAUCGGGAGUGCUCAGAGAUGGGUGUGCCUCUUUUGGGGUCGGUUCACAGGUGGUGCAUGGCUGUCGUCAGCUCGUGUCGUGAGAUGUUGGGUUAAGUCCCGCAACGAGCGCAACCCUUGUUCACUGUUGCCAGCACGUUAUGGUGGGGACUCAGUGGAGACCGCCGGGGUCAACUCGGAGGAAGGUGGGGAUGACGUCAAGUCAUCAUGCCCCUUAUGUCCAGGGCUUCACGCAUGCUACAAUGGCUGGUACAGGGAGUGGCGAGCCUGUGAGGGUGAGCGAAUCUCGGAAAGCCGGUCUUAGUUCGGAUUGGGGUCUGCAACUCGACCUCAUGAAGUCGGAGUCGCUAGUAAUCGCAGAUCAGCAACGCUGCGGUGAAUACGUUCCCGGGGCU
rnacentral:rRNA from 1 species